GAACCGGGGGAACUGAAACAUCUAAGUACCCCGAGGAAAAGAAAUCAACCGAGAUUCCCCCAGUAGCGGCGAGCGAACGGGGAGGAGCCCAGAGCCUGAAUCAGCAUGUGUGUUAGUGGAAGCGUCUGGAAAGGCGCGCGAUACAGGGUGACAGCCCCGUACACAAAAGCGCAUGUGCUGUGAGCUCGAUGAGUAGGGCGGGACACGUGGUAUCCUGUCUGAAUAUGGGGGGACCAUCCUCCAAGGCUAAAUACUCCUGACUGACCGAUAGUGAACCAGUACCGUGAGGGAAAGGCGAAAAGAACCCCGGCGAGGGGAGUGAAAAAGAACCUGAAACCGUGUACGUACAAGCAGUGGGAGCACCCUUCGGGGUGUGACUGCGUACCUUUUGUAUAAUGGGUCAGCGACUUAUAUUCUGUAGCAAGGUUAACCGUAUAGGGGAGCCGUAGGGAAACCGAGUCUUAAC
rnacentral:rRNA from 1 species